UACAGAGGGUGCGAGCGUUGUCCGGAAUCACUGGGCGUAAAGGGCGCGUAGGCGGCUUGAUAAGCGUGCGGUGAAAGCCCGGGGCUCAACCCCGGGUCGGCCGUGCGAACUGUCGAGCUGGAGCACUGUAGAGGCAGGUGGAAUUCCGGGUGUAGCGGUGGAAUGCGUAGAGAUCCGGAAGAACACCGGUGGCGAAGGCGGUCUGCUGGGCAGUAGCUGACACUGAGGCGCGAAAGCGUGGGGAGCAAACAGG
rnacentral:rRNA from 1 species